ACCUGCGGAGGGAUCAUUGCUGGAACGCGCUUCGGCGCACCCAGAAACCCUUUGUGAACUUAUACCUUACUGUUGCCUCGGCGCAGGCCGGCCUCUUAGCUGAGGCCCCCCGGAGACGGGGAGCAGCCCGCCGGCGGCCAACCAAACUCUUGUUUCUACAGUGAAUCUCUGAGUAAAAAACAUAAAUGAAUCAAAACUUUCAACAACGGAUCUCUUGGUUCUGGCAUCGAUGAAGAACGCAGCGAAAUGCGAUAAGUAAUGUGAAUUGCAGAAUUCAGUGAAUCAUCGAAUCUUUGAACGCACAUUGCGCCCUCUGGUAUUCCGGAGGGCAUGCCUGUUCGAGCGUCAUUUCAACCCUCAAGCCUGGCUUGGUGUUGGGGCACUGCCUGUAAAAGGGCAGGCCCUGAAAUCUAGUGGCGAGCUCGCUAGGACCCCGAGCGUAGUAGUUAUAUCUCGUUCUGGAAGGCCCUGGCGGUGCCCUGCCGUUAAACCCCCAACUUCUGAAAUUUUGACCUCGGAUCAGGUAGGAAUACCCGCUGAACUUAAGCAUAUCAAUA
rnacentral:rRNA from 1 species